AUUGAACGCUGGCGGCAUGCUUUACACAUGCAAGUCGAACGGCAGCACGGGGGCAACCCUGGUGGCGAGUGGCGAACGGGUGAGUAACACAUCGGAACGUGUCCAGUUGUGGGGGAUAACCCAUCGAAAGGUGGGCUAAUACCGCAUGAGCUGGCAACAGGAAAGCGGGGGACCCGCAAGGGCCUUGUGCGAUUGGAGCGGCCGAUGUCCGAUUAGCUAGUUGGUGGGGUAAAGGCCUACCAAGGCUUCGAUCGGUAGCUGGUCUGAGAGGAUGAUCAGCCACACUGGGACUGAGACACGGCCCAGACUCCUACGGGAGGCAGCAGUGGGGAAUUUUGGACAAUGGGGGCAACCCUGAUCCAGCCAUGCCGCGUGAGUGAAGAAGGCCUGGUGUAAG
rnacentral:rRNA from 1 species